AUGCUGCUACCCAAGAUGGCUGAUGCAUGCGAGGUCACCUCCUUCCACCCAAUCAACUUGGUACACAGCUUCGGUAAGCUGUCCUCCAAGCUCAUGGCAACUCGACUCGCACCGCAGCUCCCGAGACUACUCAAGAGCAACCAAUCCGCAUUCAUCCACGACCGUUCAAUCCAUGACCACUUUUGGAUGGUCCAGCUCGCCACCAAGGUGCUCCAUGCCCGCCGAUCACCUGGCAUUGCUGCUCAAGAUCGACAUUGUCAAGGCUUUUGA
rnacentral:rRNA from 1 species